CAUUGUUGUGCUCACAUGACCCAGGUUAGUUUAGUCAGAUAUUUGAAAAAAUUAUAUUUUGUGUAUAUUUUAUUCAAAUUUUGNGCUUUAUCCAUAGGACGUGUUUUGUCNCUAUUCUCAAGAAUCACUGAUUUGUAUAUAUAAAUCAAAACAUUUAAUAAGAGUUUUCACUUCUGCUACUUGGAGUCAUGGCUCUAUAUUCCACAGUUUUCCCACAUGUUCAUAAUAAAUAAUCAGCAAACAGAAUUUACAAAGAAAUUGUCGUUUAAAUUAGCAAAUA